CUUCUACCUGUAAAACACUGUUUUUGUCACCCAGGUGACUCUUCAGAGCAGUUCCGGAGAGCAGGAGUCUUCUAGAAUCCUGAAAAGCAGUCAGUGUGACCUGUGGGCAGAAGGAAGGAGCUUGCUCUCCGAGGUCUGGGUUAGACGAGGGAGAAAGGAGGUUCUGGACUUAAAUGGGAUUCUGGGAUCCUUGACAGAAAGACUCCUUUGGUCGCAAGUGAUAUGAACCAGCUGGAGCAGCUUAAGCAGAUACUGAGAUCUUUAACGGCUGGGUUUAGGGGAAACCAAGGACUGGCACACAGCGUUGCCUCUUCUGCUUGCCCUCUGUGCCCAAGACACAGGGUGGCUCCCCCGAAGCUGGUGGUAACCAUACAUUCCACAGUUUCCAGCUGCUAAUCCAUCCCUGACCCCUGACUCUCAACUGUGCUCAACUGCAGUGGAAUCCUCCACAGUGUUGUUGCCAAUGACAGGAUUCCAUUUCUACAGCUGAGUGAUAUUCCAUCAAACGUUUGCCACGUUGUCUCCGCCUACUGAGGGACCCUGGGGCUGCUUCCAUAUCUUGGCUGUUGUAGAUCAUGUUUUGAGAAAUAUACAGAGAGAAUGUGGGCAGAGAGAGAAUCUGAAGC